rnacentral:rRNA from 1 species
UGAGCAAUCUGCCCUUCACAUCGGAAUAACCAUUGGAAACGAUGGCUAAUACCGAAUAUGACUUCGGAUCGCAUGAUCUGAAGUGGAAAGCUCCGGCGGUGAAGGAUGAGCUCGCGGCCUAUCAGCUUGUUGGUGAGGUAAUAGCUCACCAAGGCGAUGGACGGGUAGCCGGCCUGAGAGGGUGACCGGCCACACUGGGACUGAGACACCGGCAGA